rnacentral:lncRNA from 1 species
GUCAGCUCAGUCCAAGAGCUUGGAAAAGUAAUCUCAACCCCACUCCACAGCUGUGAGAAGCGGGUCUGGGGUAACUGCCGUGCGAGAUUCAUUAUCGCCAUCACGCUCAACAGCCACGGCGGUGUCGGUGCCUCCUAAAAUACAUCGGCGGUUAUUGUCUGAUUACUUCUACAGAUAAUUUUCGUCACAGGGUUUCAGCUCUACUGUAGGACGCAUGAUGAUCCAGGACACCUGUUUCCACCAGAGUGCUGCCUCAGUCAAGCGCUCUGCAGGGCCGUAAUAGCAACUUCCUCCUUAUCAUUAAAAUCCCAUUCCGAUGCUCCC